CUAGAUGGGUAUCCCUACAUAGCGGGUGGGACCCACGGCGAAUGGUUCAUCAAGUCUUCAAAAAAGAAUAUAUACGAUUGCAUUGCAUAUACUAACGGAUGCGAUCAUACCAGCACUAAUGCACCGGAUCCCAUCAGAACUCCGCAGUUAAGCGUGCUUGGGCGAGAGUAGUACUAGGAUGGGUGACCUCCCGGGAAGUCCUCGUGUUGCAUCCCUCUUUUAUGUUUAACUUUUUUU
rnacentral:rRNA from 1 species